AUGGACUGGACCUGGAGGAUCCUCUUCCUGGUGGCAGCAGCUACAGGUGCACACUCUGAGGUCCAGCUGGUGCCAUCUGGAUCUGAUGUGAGGCCGCCUGAGGCCUCCGUGAAGGUGUCCUGCAAGGCUUCUGGAUACACCUUCACUAGCUAUGCUAUGAAUUGGGUGAGACAAGCCUCUGGGCAAGGAAUGCCGUAUAUGGGAUGGCUGAACACAAACACAGGAGGAACAAGCUAUGUGCAGAAGUUCCAGUUCCGAGUCGCCAUGACCAGGAACACAUCCAUGAGCACAGCCUAG